rnacentral:rRNA from 1 species
UUGACCUCAAAUCAGGUAGGAUUACCCGCUGAACUUAAGCAUAUCAAUAAGCGGAGGAAAAGAAACUAACAAGGAUUCCCCUAGUAACUGCGAGUGAAGCGGGAAAAGCUCAAAUUUAAAAUCUGGCGGUCGUUGACCGUCCGAGUUGUAAUCUAGAGAAGUGUUACCUGUGCUGGACCGUGUACAAGUCUCCUGGAAUGGAGCAUCAUAGAGGGUGAGAAUCCCGUCUUUGACAUGGACUGCCUGUGCAUGAUGGUGCGCUCUCGAAGAGUCGAGUUGUUUGGGAAUGCAGCUCAAAAUGGGUGGUAAAUGCCAUCUAAAGCUAAAUAUUGGCGAGAGACCGAUAGCGAACAAGUACCGUGAGGGAAAGAUGAAAAGAACUUUGGAAAGAGAGUUAAACAGUACGUGAAAUUGCUGAAAGGGAAACGCUUGAAGUCAGUCGCGUUGGCUAGAAAUCAGCCUUGCUCUUGCUCGGUGUACUUUCUUGUCGACGGGUCAGCAUCAGUUUUGACCAUUGGAGAAGGACAUUGGGAAUGUGGCAUCCUUGGAUGUGUUAUAGCCCGGUGUCGCAUACGAUGGUUGGGAUUGAGGAACUCAGCACGCCGCAAGGCCGGGUCUCUGACCACGUUCGUGCUUAGGAUGCUGGCAUAAUGGCUUUAAUCGA